UACGAAGGGGGCUAGCGUUGCUCGGAAUCACUGGGCGUAAAGGGUGCGUAGGCGGGUUUUUAAGUCAGGGGGUGAAAUCCUGGAGCUCAACUCCAGAACUGCCUUUGAUACUGAAGAUCUCGAGUCCGGGAGAGGUGAGUGGAACUGCGAGUGUAGAGGUGAAAUUCGUAGAUAUUCGCAAGAACACCAGUGGCGAAGGCGGCUCACUGGCCCGGUACUGACGCUGAGGCACGAAAGCGUGGGGAGCAAACAGG
rnacentral:rRNA from 1 species